CCUUUUGGAGGGCAAGUCUGGUGCCAGCAGCCGCGGUAAUUCCAGCUCCAAUAGCGUAUAUUAAAGUUGUUGAGGUUAAAAAGCUCGUAGUUGAACCUUGGGCCUAGCCGGCCGGUCCGCCUCACCGCGUGCACUGGCUCGGCUGGGUCUUUCCUUCUGGAGAACCGCAUGCCCUUCACUGGGUGUGCCGGGGAACCAGGACUUUUACUCUGAACAAAUUAGAUCGCUUAAAGAAGGCCUAUGCUCGAAUACAUUAGCAUGGAAUAAUAGAAUAGGACGUGUGGUUCUAUUUUGUUGGUUUCUAGGACCGCCGUAAUGAUUAAUAGGGACAGUCGGGGGCAUCAGUAUUCAAUUGUCAGAGGUGAAAUUCUUGGAUUUAUUGGAGACUAACUACUGCGAAAGCAUUUGCCAAGGAUGUUUUCAUUAAUCAGGAACGAAAGUUAGGGGAUCGAAGACGAUCAGAUACCGUCGUAGUCUUAACCAUAAACUAUGCCGAUUAGGGAUCGGACGGCGCUAUUUUUUGACCCGUUCGGCACCUUACGGGAAAC
rnacentral:rRNA from 1 species